CUCACGUGAGGCCUCUUUUAAAGGGUUUGAGAAGCCAGGCAGUUUUUCAGAUUUUUCAGAAUGUAGCGCCAGGUCAAACUCAGUCUCCCUUGAGGAACCACUACUUUUUCUUUUUAGAUCUUGAGGGCACUCUUUCAGGGGUGCUUUGAAAACAGCUCAGGGGCCAUCAAGAAUGGUGCUCAUAGGCACACCCCUUCACUUCUCAGGGCCUCAGUUUUCCCAUCUGUGAAGUGAGCCCAUUGGGCCAGAUGAAAUGUUUCCACUUGGUGCCAAUGAAAUCGGAGGAGACCCUCAGAUUGGCAGCUGCAGAAGUGGGGUGGGGGCUCUGGCCCCUGCCUGUUCAUCACUGGAUCCCACCACCCCACUGCUGCUCCCACCCAGGUAUCUUCUAAGCGCCUUCUCUGCGCCCAGGCAGAGAACACGACUAUCACUGACAUUCCCCGGGAAGCUUUGAAGACCCAUGUCUCUGAGUGGACUUAAAACUUGAAUGUCUUUAUUCCUAGUCCGUGAGUGGCAAUGCUGGUGGACAUGUGUGUUUGAACACUGUCUCUGAGAGGUGGGGAGCAGAGCCUAACGUUAUUUAUUGAAAGGGGCCAGGAGCCCGUGGUGGGGACAGGAAAGCAGCAGCAGAGCCUGGAGGCACGUGCUUUCUGAGUCGUCCCCUUAAAGAGCCAGGUGCAGUCUGGAAGAGUGAAUGGUUGGCGAGAACCUGCAUGUCCUGCCACACCAGGAGCUUGGCUGCAGGAGCCCACCCUCAGCACUCUGACAUGUCCCUGAAGUGCUCUGCCAUCCCAAGGAGGAGUCACACCAGGCCGAAG